rnacentral:ncRNA from 1 species
CAAGGGUGCACUCUGCAUGAACAUCAAAAGAGAAUUGGGUUAAUAUUCCCGAACCGGGACAUGGUGGUGGACGACAAUGUUAGGAAAUCUGGAGAUGUCAUCGGGGGCUUGGGAAGAGUUAUCUUUUCUUUUUAACGACUUUCCCACCAUGAAAUUGGUUCAACCAAAGAUAGGUUCCAACACCUGGAAGAGCACCACACAUCCUGCAGUUUUUGGUGCCCCCUCGACGGCCAUUGAAAAUAUGGAGAAUCGAGUACCAUCCAUGCCCGAUCGUACUCAUAUCUGCCUCC